rnacentral:rRNA from 1 species
UGGGGAAUAUUGCACAAUGGGGGAAACCCUGAUGCAGCAACGCCGCGUGAGUGAUGACGGUCUUCGGAUUGUAAAGCUCUGUCUUUGGGGACGCGGUACCCAAGGAGGAAGCCACGGCUAACUACGUGCCAGCAGCCGCGGUAAUACGUAGGUGGCGAGCGUUGUCCGGAUUUACUGGGCGUAAAGGGAGCGUAGGCGGAUUCUUAAGUGGGAUGUGAAAUACCUGGGCUUAACCUGGGUGCUGCAUUCCAAACUGGGAAUCUAGAGUGCAGGAGGGGAGAGUGGAAUUCCUAGUGUAGCGGUGAAAUGCGUAGAGAUUAGGAAGAACACCAGUGGCGAAGGCGACUCUCUGGACUGUAACUGACGCUGAGGCUCGAAAGCGUGGGGAGCAAACAGGAUUAGAUACCCCAAUAGU